GACGAACGCUGGCGGCGUGCUUAACACAUGCAAGUCGAACGGAAAGGCCCUGCUUUUGUGGGGUGCUCGAGUGGCGCACGGGUGAGUAACACGUGAGUAACCUGCCCUUGACUUUGGGAUAACUUCAGGAAACUGGGGCUAAUACCGUAUAGGAGCUCCUGCUCCAUGGUGGGGGUUGGAAAGUUUCGGCGGUUGGGGAUGGACUCGCGGCUUAUCAGCUUGUUGGUGGGGUAGUGGCUUACCAAGGCUUUGACGGGUAGCCGGCCUGAGAGGGUGACCGGCCACAUUGGGCCUGGGAUACGGCCCAGAAUCCUACGGGAGGCAGCAGUGGGGAAUAUUACACAAUGGGCGGAAGCCUGAUGCAGCAACGCCGGGUGCGGGAUGACGGCCUUCGGGUUGUAAACCGCUUGCGCCUGUGACGAAGCGUGAGUGACGGUAAUGGGUAAAGAAGCACCGGCUAACUACGUG
rnacentral:rRNA from 1 species